CAAGCGGUGGAUCAUGUGCUUUAAUUCGACGCUACUCGAAGAACCUUACUUGGACUUGACAUCUCGGGAAUUCCGUUGAAAGACGGGAGUGCCUUUAACGAGGAAUCCGAUGACAGCUGCUGCAUGGCUGUCGUCAGCUCGUGUCGUGAGAUGUUGGGUUAAGUCCCGCUACGAGCGCAACCCCUAUCUUCUAGUCACCAUAAAGUNNNNNUGGGGGGUCUCCCCAUCCUGCCCCGGUCAACGGGGAGGNAGGCCGCGCUGACCCUCAAGUCCUCAUGGCCUUUAUGUCCAGGGCUACACACGUGCUACAAUGGUAUGUACAAAGGGAAGCGAUCCCGCGAGGAGGAGCUAAUCCCAAAAAGCAUAUCAAAGUUCGGAUCGGAGUCUGCAACUCGACUCCGUGAAGUCGGAAUCGCUAGUAAUCGCGGAUCAGCAUGCCGCGCUGAUGCGUUCCCGGGCAUUGUACACACCGCCCGUCACACCAUGAGAGUUGCUGUACCGGAAGU
rnacentral:rRNA from 1 species